rnacentral:rRNA from 1 species
UGGGGAAUCUUCCGCAAUGGACGAAAGUCUGACGGAGCAACGCCGCGUGUAUGAUGAAGGUCUUCGGAUUGUAAAGUACUGUCAUUGGGGAAGAACGGUUUUCUUGAAAAGAUUGAGAAGACAUGACGGUACCCAAGGAGGAAGCCCCGGCUAACUACGUGCCAGCAGCCGCGGUAAUACGUAGGGGGCAAGCGUUGUCCGGAAUUAUUGGGCGUAAAGGGCGCGUAGGCGGGCCUUUAAGUCCGGUGUGAAAGAUCAGGGCUCAACCCUGAGAGUGCAUCGGAAACUGGAGGCCUUGAGGACAGGAGAGGAAAGUGGAAUUCCACGUGUAGCGGUGAAAUGCGUAGAUAUGUGGAGGAACACCAGUGGCGAAGGCGACUUUCUGGACUGUAACUGACGCUGAGGCGCGAAAGCGUGGGGAGCAAACAGGAUUAGAUACCCUGGUAGUCCACGCCGUAAACGAUGAGUGCUAGGUGUAGAGGGUAUCGACCCCUUCUGUGCCGCAGUUAACACAAUAAGCACUCCGCCUGGGGAGUACGGCCAGCAAGUUGAAACUUAAAGGAAUUGACGGGGUCAUAGCUGUUUCCU